CCAUAGACGUAGCGAACUAUAUGUAUACCGUAUAGUGUACUACGUCGUACAUAAAUAAGUAUAUACAUUACCGAAAAGAAGCGUCCUAAUACAUUCAAGUAGUACAUAAAUUGCAUAAAGAAACAAUGGAAAAAUAUGAAGUAUUAAAGCAGGUUGGUGAAGGAUCCUUUGGACAAGUGUACAAAGCAAAGAAACGAUCCGACGGUGAAAUCGUAGCUUUCAAAGUGAUUCGAAAGCGUGGUAGAUCGUACAAGGAAUUGAGAAGUUUACGUCAAGAAUGUGAAAUUCAGCGCCAUCUUCAUCAUCCAAACAUAGUACAAAUGCUUGAUUCUUUUGAAACAGAUAACGAGAAAGCUUCAUUUUUUCUUCAGAUAGUGGUUGUAACAGAAUACGCGGACAAGGAAUUAUACGAAAUAUUAGGUAAAGCAGGCCGUUUGUCCGAACAGAGAGCCCAAGUAAUUGCUUGUGAUCUUGUUUCUGCACUCUACUACUUGCACUCGAACAGAGUACUGCACAGGGAUCUUAAACCACAAAAUGUCCUCCUCGAAAGCAACGGAGUGGCAAAGUUAUGUGAUUUUGGAUUUGCUCGCAGUAUGAGUACAGGAACGCAUGUAUUAACCUCUAUAAAGGGAACCCCAUUGUAUAUGGCUCCAGAACUAAUAGAAGAACGUCCUUACGAUCAUAACGCGGAUUUAUGGUCUCUUGGUUGCAUAGUGUACGAACUAGUGGUAGGUUCUCCACCUUUUCAAACUACUUCUAUUCUACAUUUGGUCAGAUUGAUAAGAUUCGAAGCAAUAAAAUGGCCUGAUUUCAUCUCUGAAAAUUGUAAAAGCUUCUUACAGGGACUGCUACAAAAGGAUCCUUUGCAAAGACUAACCUGGCCUGCGCUUUUAGAACAUCCUUUUGUUAAAAAUAAAAUCGUAAUAGUAGGCGGGGCUGGACCUACACCAUUCACUACGCCUUUAUCCGCGAGUCAAGCCAGAGAGAAACAGCUGCAAUUGCAAAAUUUAACGAUACAACCUAUCGACCAUCAGUCUAAAUUUUUAGAGAAAGCUAUUAAAAAACUACACGAACAGGAAAGAACGAUCGAGGAACAUCAUCAAAGAACGUGUACGUCGCAUACUACACGAAUACGUCAGAUUCCCCACGGCCACUGCCAACAUGGAACAAAGCAGUGUUACAAUUUACGUCAUAGCGAACCAAGUGGAACAGAUUCUAGCACCAGCGUCGAUGUCCUUUUAGGAAAUCUUAGCUUAAGAGCGUCACUGAAAAGCCAAUUACUCUCUGCGGAUGAUGCGUUGUGUCAAAGUGAUUGUCUAGCCACCACUAGGAUCGUAGAAAGUAAAAAAGAGAUAUUGAAGUUCGAAGAGACGUCAAAUCGGGAACUAGCGAUUCGUUUCGACGAACAGCAACACCGCUAUCAUCACCAUUACCAUUACCAAGAACAAGAAAAAGAAAAAGAACAAGAACAAGAACAAAAUCAAUCGCAACGUCGAGAAACGAAAGAAACGGCGGCAAAAAAGAGUAUCGAUGACACGAUUUAUUCAGAGAAGGAGCGUCGAUGCGUUUCAACGGGUAACACCAGAUUACCCGACUGGGAUCCAAAAGCUGUCGAAAGACCGAUCGAAAACGAAGAAUGGAUCGCGUUUUUGCAACGAUCCAUGGAGGAGGUUAUGGAAGGAGAAGUAGGAUCGUUGCUUCAGCAAAAUUGUGUAUCGGUAUUCGUAUCUCCGUUGCGGAAUCCAGCCGCUGGUUGUCGAGUGGUCGAAUACGUUGCUUGUUUGUUAUCCUUACCGUUCGUCAUUUCAAUAACCAAAGACACAUUGGAAAAGAUCGCGCAGGUGUAUUUGGACGUCAGGGUUGUACCGAAUCUCGUCUAUGCUCUAAAACUGUUAAUGUCCGAACGUUUCGAGUCCGAGACGAAUAAGAAAGCCGAACCGACAAACGCGAACACUAGAUUAGCCUCUACGUUAUCCGCGGACGAACUUCAAACCUUAGAAUAUACAAUGCUCGUGCUUUGCAGAUUAACGUAUAGUCGGCAACAAUUUCUUACCCAAUUUUGCGAUGCUGUUUACAUCGUAAAUGGAGUAAGAUUAUUACAGCAGUUAUUAAAUUUGGAGAAAAGAAAAGGACGCGUAGUCGCGGAUCUCGUUGCAAUUUUGACCAACAUAUUACGUUCUCAACCUGAGAAUGCUCAUCUAGUGGAAAAAGUUGUGUUUCAUUCGUAUUCAUCGGCGGUUUUAACGAUGCGUAUUUUUCUGGAAAAAGGAAAUUCGAUAGACCAGUUUGGUAAACUGCUUACGCAUCGACAAGCAACACUCAGAGCGAGAACCUGUCACUUGAUUCGCCUAUUGGGUAGAUUUUCUUGUCGAGCUUUGCAACAAAUCUGGGGUAAAUCUGUGAGGAAUUUGAUAGAGAAGUUAAUCAUUGACGAGGAUCAGACUGUAAGGCUCGUGAUGUCUGUGUAACAAGUUGUCGUUGUAGAUGGAUCGAUCGAAAGCAUUCAAUGGCAAUGUUGUCUGAUCGAUAAGGACAGUAUGCAACUUGGAAACGAUCGAAUUGGCUGAACCGCUUUCCGAAAUAUGUACAUGUACGUAUGUUUCGAUACGAUUUUACGUAAUAUACGAAUACAAGCCACGAACCGUUUCUUAAUUAUCGCCUCUCGCCGAGUAUAUUUUCUUUGGCCGUCUCGUACACAUCAGACAACCAAACGGUACAGUGGCAUGCGAAGUACGAGAGUCGUGAAAAUAGCGUAUUAACAAAAUUAGCAUAAGAGGAGAAAGUCGCGGUCGUCGGCCGCUCGACCACCUUUGCUUCAACUGCCGAAUCUGUGAAUUCUUCUGUGAACGACUCUUCCAACCAGCAGGAUAAAGAUACUGGUACACAAAGUGACAAAGAACCAACCAUCUCAACUACCAACCACUGCCAACCACGAUCAUAUCACUUUUUAACCCAAAUCCUUCUCCUUUUUCUUUUUCUUUUUCUUUUUCUUUUUCUUUUUCUUUUUCUUUUUCAGCUAUCCAUUUACUUAUUCAUCAUCCAUUGUUUAUCCGUUUGUUAACGAGUCGUUCAAGUUGGCAAAAAAUCCGAAAGAAGAAAUUGAAGUAAUUCGAUUGUAAGUAAGCGGUUGAAUGAACACGAUUCGUAUAAUAACUUUAAUUGCAUUCACACGAGCAAACUUGGAAAGUUCGUGGAAGAGAAACGAUGAUCUCUCGCGACCGAAGAAAAGGACCCUAACCUUGAUAACUGGAUUCAGCCAAUGACCCAAGUCGAUCGUUGCCCCUGAUCUACCUGCUUGUAGCUUACCGCAAGAAUUAGAGGGAGCAGGUAGAUAGCGUGCUACGUAUGCAGCAAUCUUGCCAUCUGUUUCAUCGUCAACCCCUUUCCAAGGAGCACUAUCUCAUUUCUCUAAGUCCCACUAAAAAUCCCAAUUUUCAGUAUAUUGAACAGGAUGAUUAGGUACUCGAAAGAGAAAAAAAGAAAAUGAAAGGAAAGGGAUAAGGAAAAGGAAAAGGUAUAUUUUUUGUUUCACAGAUCGAUUCCUCUGUUCAUUCUACGUAAAAAGGAAUUAGUUCUCGAGAUAUUUUCAAAAAAUGUUGUUAUCGAAGAAGACAUGCUCAAAACUUGAAUCAACUCUCUCUCUCCCCCUCUUCCUCUCCUUCUACCUGCUUUCUCUCUCGGCUCUCUCUCUUCUUCUCUCUCUUCAUUCUUUCUUCCUGGUUUUUUCUUUUUUAAACCAACACAGCGCAGCGGUUCGUUGGAGGAGAGCACCCUCCUUGUUGAGGCGGUUGCAUCGCGGUCGCCGUGCCAGUAAACAAAGGUCUGCUUGCUUACCGACUAAAAGGAUAGUAAUUGUGACCUGGGUUACCUGGCCGCAGCGAACUAAACGAGGUAGAUGUAGAGUCAACUUUGGAUUGGCUCCAUUUCACCCGAGAUAGAUAGAGAUAGGUAUGCGGCGAACGUUUUCUACAUUUUUCUGUACCUACCGUUAAUUGCACAUGCACUGUUUGGACUUGAAAAAAAAUCUAACGUCCUAUGAAUGUGGUGUUCGAGCCAUUUAUCUUUCUCUUAUGGAAUUUUUUAUUGUGAAUGCGCUAAUAACGGAGUUAUCAGCAGAAACACUUGCGUGACCCACCCUGUAUACGCAGAUAUAAUACGCAGCUAUAGGUGUUUAGUGGGAGGGACAUGAAAAGAGAGAAGAAGAGAGGGAUGGAGGAGGAAGAAAGGCUAAGAAUCGCUGAGAAAAGUUGCAUCGUUUGUCCGUGAGGAUUGACUCGCUACGGAGUUCGUUAUACUCUUGAAAGAGAAUCGACAAAAAGUCGACCAUUCUCUACCAUCACCGGCCAGCCAAUCAUUCGUGUUUCGCGAACCAGCGGUCCUUGGAGAAAAAUUCGUUUCAUCGAACCCAAAGUAGUCGUCCUUAAGUUGAACGAAAAAUAAUUUCAUUACUACAAGAGGUUGUAUAGCCUAUCGCGACCACGAAUCCAGUUCGAGCGUGACAAAGAUACACGAAAUUUUUAGAAUAUACUGGCGUGAUAACAUAAAUGUUUCUAAAUCUUUGGAACUUUUUGCCUGUAAAGUGUGAAUUUUUUUUUAAUAUGAAUUAAUCCGUAUCGU